rnacentral:rRNA from 1 species
GCCAAGAGCCAUAUCACCUUGCAGUUCUUGCCGGGUGUCUCACUGAAGAUAAGCAGGGUUGAGCCUGGUCAGUACCUAAGGAAAACUAAGGUUGCUGCUGGAA